rnacentral:rRNA from 1 species
CCUACGGGCGGCUGCAGUGGGGAAUAUUGCACAAUGGGCGCAAGCCUGAUGCAGCCAUGCCGCGUGUGUGAAGAAGGCCUUCGGGUUGUAAAGCACUUUCAGCGGGGAGGAAGGCGGUGAGGUUAAUAACCUCAUCGAUUGACGUUACCCGCAGAAGAAGCACCGGCUAACUCCGUGCCAGCAGCCGCGGUAAUACGGAGGGUGCAAGCGUUAAUCGGAAUUACUGGGCGUAAAGCGCACGCAGGCGGUCUGUCAAGUCGGAUGUGAAAUCCCCGGGCUCAACCUGGGAACUGCGUUCGAAACUGGCAGGCUAGAGUCUGGUAGAGGGGGGUAGAAUUCCAGGUGUAGCGGUGAAAUGCGUAGAGAUCUGGAGGAAUACCGGUGGCGAAGGCGGCCCCCUGGACAAAGACUGACGCUCAGGUGCGAAAGCGUGGGGAGCAAACAGGAUUGAUACCCCGGUAGUC